UACGUAGGUGGCAAGCGUUGUCCGGAUUUACUGGGCGUAAAGAGCGCGCAGGCGGUCGGAUAAGUCGAAUGUGAAAGCCCCCGGCUCAACUGGGGAGGGUCAUUCGAUACUGUUCGACUCGAAGGCAGGAGAAGGAAGUGGAAUUCCCGGUGUAGUGGUGAAAUGCGUAGAUAUCGGGAGGAACACCAGUGGCGAAGGCGACUUCCUGGCCUGUUCUUGACGCUGAGGCGCGAAAGCUAGGGGAGCAAACGGG
rnacentral:rRNA from 1 species